UAAGCCCAGGGAAAAGCUUAAAUUGUGGUUC
rnacentral:piRNA from 1 species